rnacentral:rRNA from 1 species
UACGUAGGGGGCUAGCGUUGUCCGGAUUUAUUGGGCGUAAAGAGCGUGUAGGCGGCCAGGUAGGUCCGUUGUGAAAACUCGAGGCUCAACCUCGAGACGUCGGCGGAAACCCUCUGGCUAGAGUCCGGAAGAGGAGAGUGGAAUUCCUGGUGUAGCGGUGAAAUGCGCAGAUAUCAGGAAGAACACCCGUGGCGAAGGCGCUCUCUGGGACGGUACUGACGCUGAGACGCGAAAGCGUGGGGGAGCGAACAGG